ACGGGAGGCAGCAGUGGGGAAUAUUGGGCAAUGGGCGAAAGCCUGACCCAGCAACGCCGCGUGAAGGAAGAAGGUCUUCGGAUUGUAAACUUCUUUUAUGUAGGACGAAGAAAGUGACGGUACUACAUGAAUAAGCCACGGCUAACUACGUGCCAGCAGCCGCGGUAAUACGUAGGUGGCAAGCGUUAUCCGGAUUUACUGGGUGUAAAGGGCGCGUAGGCGGGAUGGCAAGUCAGAUGUGAAAUCCAUGGGCUCAACCCAUGAACUGCAUUUGAAACUGUCGUUCUUGAGUGUCGGAGAGGUAGAUGGAAUUCCUAGUGUAGCGGUGAAAUGCGUAGAUAUUAGGAGGAACACCAGUGGCGAAGGCGAUCUACUGGACGAUAACUGACGCUGAGGCGCGAAAGCGUGGGGAGCAAACAGGAUUAGAUACCCUGGUA
rnacentral:rRNA from 1 species